rnacentral:rRNA from 2 species
ACGUAGGUGGCGAGCGUUAUCCGGAAUGAUUGGGCGUAAAGGGUGCGUAGGUGGCAGAUCAAGUCUGGAGUAAAAGGUAUGGGCUCAACCCGUACUGGCUCUGGAAACUGAUCAGCUAGAGAACAGAAGAGGACGGCGGAACUCCAUGUGUAGCGGUAAAAUGCGUAGAUAUAUGGAAGAACACCGGUGGCGAAGGCGGCCGUCUGGUCUGGAUUCUGACACUGAAGCACGAAAGCGUGGGGAGCAAAUAG